rnacentral:rRNA from 1 species
GAUGAACGCUAGCUACAGGCUUAACACAUGCAAGUCGAGGGACCGGCGCACGGGUGAGUAACGCGUAUCCAACCUGCCCAUAAGUAGGGUAUAACCCGCAGAAAUGCGGACUAAUCCCCUUUGCUUAUGGAUGGGGAUGCGUCCGAUUGGCUUGUUGGUGAGGUAACUGCCCACCAAGGCUGCGAUGGGGGGGGGUGCUGAGAGGAAGGCCCCCCACAUAGGAACUGAGACACGGUCCUCACUCCUAAGAGAGGCAGCAGUGAGGAAGAUUGGGCAAUGGGCGAGGGCCUGAACCAGCCAAGUAGCGGGCAGGACGACGGCCUAUGGGUUGUAAACUGCUUUUAUGCGGGGAUAGGUACCGCAUGAAUAAGGACCGGCUAAUUCCGUGCCAGCAGCCGCGGUAAUAC